ensembl:misc_RNA 7SK 7SK RNA
AGAUGUGAGGGCAAUCUGGCUGCAGCAUCUGUCACCCCAUUGAUUGCCUGGGUUAUUUAGCUGAUCUGUCUGGCUAGGAGGGUGUUCCCCUCCUUCCUCACUGCUCCAUAAACGUCACUCUAGAAGCUGGCUCACCUUCCCCUGCAUAGAGGAAGGCAGGUCUUCGGCCAAGGGUACACUAGUAGCUGUGCUCCCCUGCUGGAACCUCCAAACAAGCUCUCAGGGUAGAAGCAUUUAGUCUGACAGUUAGUCUCCAGCCAUGUUGAGGAGAGCAUAGUAGUU